rnacentral:lncRNA from 1 species
GGGACAAAGAGAGGGGUCAGCUGAGGGGCAUCAAAGAAGAAAGGACUGAGGUGGUUCAGUUCAGCAUGCCCUGCCAAAUCUUACCCAUAGAACAGAUGCCUGUGGCGCUGCGGUGGUGCCCAACAGCUCUGAGUUUCAGCCUCUUCUUCCUGGGACUUAACCUCUCACUCUCCACUGCUGUCCUUUGAACACACAGGAGUAAAUUGGCAAAGAUACUGAGGAGCAGAGAGGGGGCACUGAAGUUCGAAGUCCCUUACCUGGAGAGGGACACUGCCAGGAUGAGGACACAGGUCCUCAGGUGCUCCGGUGCACAGCAAUGCCACGUGCGCCUGGGAACACAAGAGUCUGUCUGGGCUGUGCCUCUACGCACUGUGCCAGCUGUCGGCCAGCCUCCCUUGCAGGUCACAGACUCUUGUCAUGCUGUGUCACAAAUAUAGCUGCUUGUGAUCUUCAAAUUUCCAUAAAUGACAGAAAAUGGAAUCCUCUUGCUUGAUGGUACAUUCAUGGCAUCACCCAUCCCAGA